UACGAAGGGGGCUAGCGUUGCUCGGAAUCACUGGGCGUAAAGCGCACGUAGGCGGCUUUUUAAGUCAGAGGUGAAAUCCUGGAGCUCAACUCCAGAACUGCCUUUGAUACUGGAGAGCUUGAGUCCGGGAGAGGUGAGUGGAACUGCGAGUGUAGAGGUGAAAUUCGUAGAUAUUCGCAAGAACACCAGUGGCGAAGGCGGCUCACUGGCCCGGUACUGACGCUGAGGUGCGAAAGCGUGGGGAG
rnacentral:rRNA from 1 species